rnacentral:rRNA from 1 species
GACGAACGCUGGCGGCGUGCUUAACACAUGCAAGUCGAGCGGUAAGGCCCUUUCGGGGGUACGACGAGCGGCGAACGGGUAGAGUAACACGUGGGUGACCUGCCCUCAGCUCUGGGAGUAAGCCUGGGAAACCGGGUCUAAUACUGGAUAUGACUCCAUGACGCAUGUUGUGGGGUGGAAAGCCUUGUGCGGCUGAGGAUGGGCCCGCGGCCUAUCAGCUUGUUGGUGGGGUGAGGCCUACCAAGGCGACGACGGGUAGCCGGCCUGAGAGGGCGACCGGCCACACUGGGACUGAGACACGGCCCAGACUCCUACGGGGAGGGCAGCAGUGGGGAAUCUUGCGCAAUGGGCGAAAGCCUGACGCAGCGACGCCGCGUGAGGGAUGAC